rnacentral:rRNA from 1 species
UACGGAGGGGGCUAGCGUUGUUCGGAAUUACUGGGCGUAAAGCGCACGCAGGCGGCUUUGUAAGUUAGAGGUGAAAGCCCAGGGCUUAACCCUGGAAUUGCCUUUAAGACUGCAUCGCUAGAAUCGUGGAGAGGUGAGUGGAAUUCCGAGUGUAGAGGUGAAAUUCGUAGAUAUUCGGAAGAACACCAGUGGCGAAGGCGACUCACUGGACACGUAUUGACGCUGAGGUGCGAAAGCGUGGGGAGCAAACAGG